rnacentral:miRNA from 1 species
ACCCUAACUGAGAGCAUUUAUU